rnacentral:sRNA from 1 species
GCCAGGCACAGUGGUGCGUGCCUGUAUUCCCAAUGAUUCAGGAGGCUGAGGCAUGAGGAUGGCAAGACCCUGCCUCAA